rnacentral:rRNA from 1 species
AUGCAAGUCGAACGGUAACGACACUAGCUUGCUAGUGGGCGACGAGUGGCGGACGGGUGAGUAACGCGUAGGAAUCUACCUAGUAGUGGGGGAUAGCCAAGGGAAACUUUGGGUAAUACCGCAUACGAUCUAAGGAUGAAAGGGGGCCUCUCUUUGAAGCUCUCGCUAUUAGAUGAGCCUGCGUAAGAUUAGCUUGUUGGUGGGGUAAUGGCUCACCAAGGCAACGAUCUUUAGCUGGUCUGAGAGGAUGAUCAGUCACACUGGAACUGAGACACGGUCCAGACUCCUACGGGAGGCAGCAGUCGGGAAUAUUGGACAAUGGGGGCAACCCUGAUCCAGCCAUGCCGCGUGAGUGAUGAAGGCCCUGGGGUUGUAAAGCUCUUUCACCGGUGAAGAUAAUGACGGUAACCGGAGAAGAAGCCCCGGCUAACUUCGUGCCAGCAGCCGCGGUAAUACGAAGGGGGCUAGCGUUGUUCGGAAUUACUGGGCGUAAAGCGCGCGUAGGCGGAUCGGUCAGUUAGGGGUGAAAUCCCGGGGCUCAACCCCGGAACUGCCUCUAAUACUGCCGAUCUAGAGUUCGAGAGAGGUGAGUGGAAUUCCGAGUGUAGAGGUGAAAUUCGUAGAUAUUCGGAGGAACACCAGUGGCGAAGGCGGCUCACUGGCUCGAUACUGACGCUGAGGUGCGAAAGCGUGGGGAGCAAACAGGAUUAGAUACUCUGGUAGUCCACGCUGUAAACGAUGGAAGCUAGCUGUUGGCAGGUUUACCUGUCGGUGGCGCAGUUAACGCAUUAAGCUUUCUCGCCUGGGGAGUACGGUCGCAAGAUUAAAACUCAAAGGAAUUGACGGGGGCUCGCACAAGCGGUGAGCAUGUGUUUAAUUCGAAGCAACGCGCAGAACCUUACCAGCCCUUGACAUCUGGGUCGCGAUUUCCAGAGAUGGAUUCUUUCAGUUAGCUGACCCAAGACAGGUGCUGCAUGCUGUCGUCAGCUCGUGUCGUGAGAUGUUGGUUAAGUUCCCGCACGAGCGCAACCCUCGCCCUUAGUGCAGCUCAGUGGCACUCUACGGGACUGCUGUGAUAAGUCGGACAGAAGGUAGGAUGACGUCAGGUCCUCAUGGUCCGUACGCUGGCUACCUACGUGCUUACAAUGGCGGGUAACGGGGGCAACGGAGCGGACGUCAACUUAUUCCCAAAGCAUCCUAGAUUCCGAAAUAGGGGG